rnacentral:rRNA from 1 species
ACGCUGGCGGCAGGCCUAACACAUGCAAGUCGAGCGGUAGCACAGAGAGCUUGCUCUCGGGUGACGAGCGGCGGACGGGUGAGUAAUGUCUGGGAAACUGCCUGAUGGAGGGGGAUAACUACUGGAAACGGUAGCUAAUACCGCAUAACGUCGCAAGACCAAAGUGGGGGACCUUCGGGCCUCAUGCCAUCAGAUGUGCCCAGAUGGGAUUAGCUAGUAGGUGGGGUAACGGCUCACCUAGGCGACGAUCCCUAGCUGGUCUGAGAGGAUGACCAGCCACACUGGAACUGAGACACGGUCCAGACUCCUACGGGAGGCAGCAGUGGGGAAUAUUGCACAAUGGGCGCAAGCCUGAUGCAGCCAUGCCGCGUGUGUGAAGAAGGCCUUCGGGUUGUAAAGCACUUUCAGCGGGGAGGAAGGCGGUGAGGUUAAUAACCUCAUCGAUUGACGUUACCCGCAGAAGAAGCACCGGCUAACUCCGUGCCAGCAGCCGCGGUAAUACGGAGGGUGCAAGCGUUAAUCGGAAUUACUGGGCGUAAAGCGCACGCAGGCGGUCUGUCAAGUCGGAUGUGAAAUCCCCGGGCUCAACCUGGGAACUGCAUUCGAAACUGGCAGGCUAGAGUCUUGUAGAGGGGGGUAGAAUUCCAGGUGUAGCGGUGAAAUGCGUAGAGAUCUGGAGGAAUACCGGUGGCGAAGGCGGCCCCCUGGACAAAGACUGACGCUCAGGUGCGAAAGCGUGGGGAGCAAACAGGAUUAGAUACCCUGGUAGUCCACGCCGUAAACGAUGUCGAUUUGGAGGUUGUGCCCUUGAGGCGUGGCUUCCGGAGCUAACGCGUUAAAUCGACCGCCUGGGGAGUACGGCCGCAAGGUUAAAACUCAAAUGAAUUGACGGGGGCCCGCACAAGCGGUGGAGCAUGUGGUUUAAUUCGAUGCAACGCGAAGAACCUUACCUGGUCUUGACAUCCACAGAACUUUCCAGAGAUGGAUUGGUGCCUUCGGGAACUGUGAGACAGGUGCUGCAUGGCUGUCGUCAGCUCGUGUUGUGAAAUGUUGGGUUAAGUCCCGCAACGAGCGCAACCCUUAUCCUUUGUUGCCAGCGGUUAGGCCGGGAACUCAAAGGAGACUGCCAGUGAUAAACUGGAGGAAGGUGGGGAUGACGUCAAGUCAUCAUGGCCCUUACGACCAGGGCUACACACGUGCUACAAUGGCAUAUACAAAGAGAAGCGACCUCGCGAGAGCAAGCGGACCUCAUAAAGUAUGUCGUAGUCCGGAUUGGAGUCUGCAACUCGACUCCAUGAAGUCGGAAUCGCUAGUAAUCGUAGAUCAGAAUGCUACGGUGAAUACGUUCCCGGGCCUUGUACACACCGCCCGUCACACCAUGGGAGUGGGUUGCAAAAGAAGUAGGUAGCUUAACCUUCGGGAGGGCGCUUACCACUUUGUGAUUCAUGACUGG